rnacentral:rRNA from 1 species
UACGAAGGGGGCUAGCGUUGCUCGGAAUUACUGGGCGUAAAGCGCACGUAGGCGGCUCUUUAAGUCGGAGGUGAAAUCCUGGAGCUCAACUCCAGAACUGCCUUCGAUACUGUAGAGCUUGAGUUCGGGAGAGGUGAGUGGAACUGCGAGUGUAGAGGUGAAAUGCUUAGAUAUGACAUAGAACACCCAUUGCGAAGGCAGCUAACUACGCGAUAAUUGACGCUGAUGCACGAAAGCGUGGGGAUCAAACAGG